UACAGAGGGGGGCAAGCGUUUGUUCGGAAUUACUGGGCGUAAAGGGCUCGUAGGCGGCCAACUAAGUCAGACGUGAAAUCCCUCGGCUUAACCGGGGAACUGCGUCUGAUACUGGAUGGCUCGAGUUUUGGGAGAGGGAUGCGGAAUUCCAGGUGUAGCGGUGAAAUGCGUAGAUAUCUGGAGGAACACCGGUGGCGAAGGCGGCAUCCUGGACCAACACUGACGCUGAGUGAGCGAAAGCCAGGGGAGCAAACGGG
rnacentral:rRNA from 1 species